rnacentral:rRNA from 1 species
UACGUAGGGGGCAAGCGUUGUCCGGAAUCAUUGGGCGUAAAGAGCGUGUAGGCGGCUCGGUAAGUCCGCUCUGAAAGCCCGGGGCUCAACCCCGGGAGGCGGGCGGAUACUGUCGGGCUAGAGUCCGGAAGAGGCGAGUGGAAUUCCUGGUGUAGCGGUGAAAUGCGUAGAUAUCGGGAGGAACACCUGUGGCGAAAGCGGCUCACUGGACCACAACUGACGCUGAGGCGCGAAAGCUAGGGGAGCAAACAGG